GAGGUGUCAGGUUAAGUCCUAUAACGAGCGCAACCCCUGUUGUUAGUUGCCAGCGAGUCAUGUCGGGAACUCUAACAAGACUGCCAGUGCAAACUGUGAGGAAGGUGGGGAUGACGUCAAAUCAUCACGGCCCUUACGCCUUGGGCUACACACGUGCUACAAUGGCCGGUACAGAGAGCAGCCACUUCGUGAGGAGGAGCGAAUCUAUAAAACCGGUCACAGUUCGGAUCGGAGUCCGCAACUCGACUCCGUGAAGCUGGAAUCGCUAGUAAUCGGAUAUCAGCCAUGAUCCGGUGAAUACGUUCCCGGGCCUUGUACACACCGCCCGUCAAGCCAUGGAAGCUGGGGGUGCCUGAAGAUGGUGAC
rnacentral:rRNA from 1 species